UACGUAGGGACCAAGCGUUGUUCGGAUUUACUGGGCGUAAAGGGCGCGUAGGCGGCAUGACAAGUCACUUGUGAAAUCUCCGGGCUUAACUCGGAACGGCCAAGUGAUACUGUCAAGCUAGAGUGCAGAAAGGGCAAUCGGAAUUCUUGGUGUAGCGGUGAAAUGCGUAGAGAUCAGGAAGAACACCGGUGGCGAAAGCGCUCUGCUGGACCUUAACUGACACUGAGGGACGAAAGCUAGGGGAGCGAAUGGG
rnacentral:rRNA from 1 species